rnacentral:rRNA from 1 species
AUACGGAGGAUCCGAGCGUUAUCCGGAUUUAUUGGGUUUAAAGAGUGCGCAGGCGGCCAUUUAAGUCAGCGGUUAAAUCGUGGGGCUCAACCCCAUUCUGCCGUUGAUACUGGGUGGCUUGAUUGCGGUCGAGGUUGGCGGAAUUCGUUGUGUAGCGGUGAAAUGCAUAGAUAUGACGAAGAACACCGAUUGCGUAGGCAGCUGACCAGACCGCAAAUGACGCUCAUGCACGAAAGUGCGGGGAUCGAACAGGAUUAGAUACCCUGGUAGUCCGCACAGUAAACGAUGAAUACUUGUUUUCGGCGAUAUAAUGUCGGAGGCAAAGCGAAAGCGAUAAGUAUUCCACCUGGGGAGUACGCCGGCAACGGUGAAACUCAAAUGAAUUGACGGGG